GGACGCAUGCAGUGGGCUAGUCU
rnacentral:misc_RNA from 1 species